CACGUAGUUAGCCGGGGCUUCUUAGUCAGGUACCGUCCGUUUUCUUCCCUGCCGAUAGAAGUUUACAUACCGAGAUACUUCUUCCUUCACGCGGCGUCGCUGCAUCAGGGUUUCCCCUAUUGUGCAAUAUUCCCCACUGCUGCCUCCCGCAGGAGUCUGGGCCGUGUCUCAGUCCCAGUGUGGCCGUCCGCCCUCUCAGGCCGGCUACCGAUCGUCGGUUUGGUGGGCCGUCACCCCGCAACUGCCUAAUCGGACGCGGACUCAUCGCGCACCGCAAAUUGCUUCCGCGCUGCGUCAUGCGACGCCGCGCGCAUAUGCGGCAUUAGCAGCCGUUUCCGGCUGUUAUUCCCCUGUGCGCGGCAGAUUGUCCACGCGUUACUCACCCGUCCGCCACUAAGCUGCGCGAAUGCUCCCACCGAAAUGUUCGCUCUCACGCGCUCCGUUCGACUUGCAUGUGUUAGGCACGCCGCCAGCGUUCAU
rnacentral:rRNA from 1 species